AGGACCCUUCCGGAGGGCCCCCCCCAAUCCUGUUGUGCUGGAUUCAGAGGGUUGGGCGGAGGCUUUCCUGAAGGCUCU
rfam:Sus scrofa chromosome 17.